rnacentral:rRNA from 1 species
CCUACGGGGGGCUGCAGUGGGGAAUAUUGGACAAUGGGCGCAAGCCUGAUCCAGCCAUGCCGCGUGAGUGAUGAAGGCCUUAGGGUUGUAAAGCUCUUUCGCCAGGGACGAUAAUGACGGUACCUGGAUAAGAAGCCCCGGCUAACUUCGUGCCAGCAGCCGCGGUAAUACGAAGGGGGCUAGCGUUGUUCGGAAUCACUGGGCGUAAAGCGUAUGCAGGCGGAUCGUUAAGUCGGGGGUGAAAUCCCGAGGCUCAACCUCGGAACUGCCUUCGAUACUGGCGAUCUUGGAGUCCGGGAGAGGUGAGUGGAACUGCGAGUGUAGAGGUGAAAUUCGUAGAUAUUCGCAAGAACACCAGUGGCGAAGGCGGCUCACUGGCCCGGUACUGACGCUGAGAUACGAAAGCGUGGGGAGCAAACAGGAUUAGAUACCCCAGUAGUC